ensembl:lncRNA
GUGAUUGUAGACAUAUUAAAGUAUUAAAGUUUAAGAAAUCUGCUUCGGCCAAUCUAUUUCUCUACACUGAAGGCUUUCAUAAUCCUUACUUCAGCUAAUUUAUUUCCGGCUGUCUGAAAAGCUAUUUGUGUGCAAAAGGCCGUAUCCUCCACAAGUGACUACAAAUACCAUCAACUGGAAACAGGCAGAGCUCACAUGCUUUAGCUCUGGUGUAUAGCCUCGUCUAUGAGAGUUCCUGAGUUAAAAGAUCAAUAGUAGAAUAGCUACUGUUUUCUCAAAAUCCUGGGAGAUUUUAUGCUGUAUAAUGGCACAUGCUGAUCUCAAUUCCUUUGUGAAUUCAUUUCAGAUUUCUUUAGUUUUCAGGAAUCAACAAUUUUGGUGGAAGAUAUAAACAACAAAACUAACACAGCAGAACAAAACUUUGGCAACAUGGAAGGUAUGCAUGCACAAAAAACCCAAACAAUAUCUAAAUGCAAGAAAAAUAGACAAUCUAAGAAAACAGAAUUAUAGUUGAAUGCCUCCAUAUUCUACUAUCAAACCACAACAGAAAAGGAGGACAAAAAUAAAAACUAUAUGAUGCUCAAUUGGGGGAUUUAU